GGUUAAGCGACUAAGCGUACACGGUGGAUGCCCUGGCAGUCAGAGGCGAUGAAGGACGUGCUAAUCUGCGAAAAGCGUCGGUAAGGUGAUAUGAACCGUUACAGCCGGCGAUGUCCGAAUGGGGAAACCCAGUGCAAUUCGUUGCACUAUCGUUUGAUGAAUACAUAGUCAAACGAGGCGAACCGGGGGAACUGAAACAUCUAAGUACCCCGAGGAAAAGAAAUCAACCGAGAUUCCCCCAGUAGCGGCGAGCGAACGGGGAGCAGCCCGGAGUCUGAAUCAGCUUGUGUGUUAGUGGAAGCGUCUGGAAAGUCGCAGGGUACAGGGUGAUACUCCCGUACACUAAAACACACAGGUUGUGAACUCGAAGAGUAGGGCGGGACACGUGGUAUCCUGUCUGAAUAUGGGGGGACCAUCCUCCAAGGCUAAAUACUCCUGACUGACCGAUAGUGAACCAGUACCGUGAGGGAAAGGCGAAAAGAACCCCGGCGAGGGGAGUGAAAAAGAACCUGAAACCGUGUACGUACAAGCAGUAGGAGCCCACUUGUUGGGUGACUGCGUACCUUUUGUAUAAUGGGUCAGCGACUUAUAUUCUGUAGCAAGGUUAACCGUAUAGGGGAGCCGCAGGGAAACCGAGUCUUAACUGGGCGUUAAGUUGCAGGGUAUAGACCCGAAACCCGGUGAUCUAGCCAUGGGCAGGUUGAAGGUUGGGUAACACUAACUGGAGGACCGAACCGACUAAUGUUGAAAAAUUAGCGGAUGACUUGUGGCUGGGGGUGAAAGGCCAAUCAAACCGGGAGAUAGCUGGUUCUCCCCGAAAGCUAUUUAGGUAGCGCCUCGUGAAUUCAUCUUCGGGGGUAGAGCACUGUUUCGGCUAGGGGGUCAUCCCGACUUACCAACCCGAUGCAAACUACGAAUACCGAAGAAUGUUAUCACGGGAGACACACGGCGGGUGCUAACGUCCGUCGUGAAGAGGGAAACAACCCAGACCGCCAGCUAAGGUCCCAAAGUCAUGGUUAAGUGGGAAACGAUGUGGGAAGGCCCAGACAGCCAGGAUGUUGGCUUAGAAGCAGCCAUCAUUUAAAGAAAGCGUAAUAGCUCACUGGUCGAGUCGGCCUGCGCGGAAGAUGUAACGGGGCUAAACCAUGCACCGAAGCUGCGGCAGCGACGCUUAUGCGUUGUUGGGUAGGGGAGCGUUCUGUAAGCCGUUGAAGGUGGCCUGUGAGGGUUGCUGGAGGUAUCAGAAGUGCGAAUGCUGACAUAAGUAACGAUAAUGCGGGUGAAAAACCCGCACGCCGGAAGACCAAGGGUUCCUGUCCAACGUUAAUCGGGGCAGGGUGAGUCGACCCCUAAGGCGAGGCCGAAAGGCGUAGUCGAUGGGAAACAGGUUAAUAUUCCUGUACUUGGUGUUACUGCGAAGGGGGGACGGAGAAGGCUAUGUUGGCCGGGCGACGGUUGUCCCGGUUUAAGCGUGUAGGUGUGUGUUCCAGGUAAAUCCGGUUCACUUUAACACUGAGGCGUGAUGACGAGGCACUACGGUGCUGAAGUGACAAAUGCCCUGCUUCCAGGAAAAGCCUCUAAGCAUCAGGUAACAUCAAAUCGUACCCCAAACCGACACAGGUGGUCAGGUAGAGAAUACCAAGGCGCUUGAGAGAACUCGGGUGAAGGAACUAGGCAAAAUGGUGCCGUAACUUCGGGAGAAGGCACGCUGAUAUGUAGGUGAAGUGGUUUACCCAUGGAGCUGAAAUCAGUCGAAGAUACCAGCUGGCUGCAACUGUUUAUUAAAAACACAGCACUGUGCAAACACGAAAGUGGACGUAUACGGUGUGACGCCUGCCCGGUGCCGGAAGGUUAAUUGAUGGGGUUAUCCGUAAGGAGAAGCUCUUGAUCGAAGCCCCGGUAAACGGCGGCCGUAACUAUAACGGUCCUAAGGUAGCGAAAUUCCUUGUCGGGUAAGUUCCGACCUGCACGAAUGGCGUAAUGAUGGCCAGGCUGUCUCCACCCGAGACUCAGUGAAAUUGAACUCGCUGUGAAGAUGCAGUGUACCCGCGGCAAGACGGAAAGACCCCGUGAACCUUUACUAUAGCUUGACACUGAACACUGGUCCUUGAUGUGUAGGAUAGGUGGGAGGCUUUGAAGCGUGGACGCCAGUCUGCGUGGAGCCAUCCUUGAAAUACCACCCUUUAAUGGCUGGUGUUCUAACGUGGGCCCGUAAUCCGGGUUGCGGACAGUGUCUGGUGGGUAGUUUGACUGGGGCGGUCUCCUCCUAAAGAGUAACGGAGGAGCACGAAGGUCAGCUAAUCCUGGUCGGACAUCAGGAGGUUAGUGCAAUGGCAUAAGCUGGCUUGACUGCGAGCGUGACGGCGCGAGCAGGUGCGAAAGCAGGUCAUAGUGAUCCGGUGGUUCUGAAUGGAAGGGCCAUCGCUCAACGGAUAAAAGGUACUCCGGGGAUAACAGGCUGAUACCGCCCAAGAGUUCAUAUCGACGGCGGUGUUUGGCACCUCGAUGUCGGCUCAUCACAUCCUGGGGCUGAAGUAGGUCCCAAGGGUAUGGCUGUUCGCCAUUUAAAGUGGUACGCGAGCUGGGUUUAGAACGUCGUGAGACAGUUCGGUCCCUAUCUGCCGUGGGCGCUGGAGAAUUGAGGGGGGCUGCUCCUAGUACGAGAGGACCGGAGUGGACGCAUCACUGGUGUUCGGGUUGUCAUGCCAAUGGCAUUGCCCGGUAGCUAAAUGCGGAAGAGAUAAGUGCUGAAAGCAUCUAAGUACGAAACUUGCCCCGAGAUGAGUUCUCCCUGACUCCUUGAGAGUCCUGAAGGAACGUUGAAGACGACGACGUUGAUAGGCCGGGUGUGUAAGCGCAGCGAUGCGUUGAGCUAACCGGUACUAAUGAACCGUGAGGCUUAACCUU
rnacentral:rRNA from 1 species